GAGAUGAGAUAUGUUGAAAGAACUCCCGGGUUUUGCACACGAGAUAGAAGAUCGUGAUUUUAGACUGGUCAGCUCUCCGUUCCUCUUAUCUUUAUUGCACUACAAGUUUGUUAGGUACUAUAACAAGGUCUACCUGUAAAUGGGGUUUGAAUUAUGAAGCAUAAAUGUUAUAGGUGAAAAUGAAUAUGGAUUUUAUCCUGGUUUCUUGAAGCUCAAAUAGCACUGAAGUCUUGGAGGUUUAAUUAUAUUUUCUUUUCAAUUCCACUGUGACAAUGGCGAUUACAACCCCUUCAUCAAAUGUGACUGUUCUGAUAAUGUCAUUUGCCACAUUACCCUACUCUAGCUCUUGGUUUUUGCUAUCUUUGUUUGUUGUUUGA
rnacentral:lncRNA from 1 species